rnacentral:rRNA from 1 species
UCAGGGGAUAACAGGCUGAUCCCUCCCAAGAGCUCAUAUCGACGGAGGGGUUUGGCACCUCGAUGUCGGCUCGU